CCUACGGGAGGCAGCAGUGGGGAAUAUUGCACAAUGGGCGCAAGCCUGAUGCAGCGACGCCGCGUGAGGGAUGAAGGCCUUCGGGUUGUAAACCUCUUUCAGUAGGGAAGCGGUACCUGCAGAAGAAGCGCCGGCUAACUACGUGCCAGCAGCCGCGGUAAUACGUAGGGCGCAAGCGUUAUCCGGAAUUAUUGGGCGUAAAGAGCUCGUAGGCGGUUUGUCGCGUCUGCCGUGAAAGUCCGGGGCUUAACUCCGGAUCUGCGGUGGGUACGGGCAGACUAGAGUGCAGUAGGGGAGACUGGAAUUCCUGGUGUAGCGGUGAAAUGCGCAGAUAUCAGGAGGAACACCGAUGGCGAAGGCAGGUCUCUGGGCUGUACUGACGCUGAGGAGCGAAAGCAUGGGGAGCGAACAGGAUUAGAUACCCUUGUAGUC
rnacentral:rRNA from 1 species